rnacentral:misc_RNA from 1 species
UCCGGCUUGACGCCGGCAGUCCCCCGAGAGUCCUCAGCUUUACCUGUUAGUAACACGGGGCAAGGGUUCUACUUCCAGCAUGUCAAGCCUAGGUGAGGUUCUUCGCGUUGCAUCGAAUUAAACCACACGCUCCGCUGCUUGUGCGGGCCCCCGUCAAUUCCUUUGAGUUUUAGCCUUGCGGCCGUACUCCCCAGGCAGGGCACUUAAUGCGUUAGCUGCGGCACCGGAGGGGUCGAUACCCCCGACACCUAGUGCCCAACGUUUACGGCGUGGACUAC